rnacentral:rRNA from 1 species
CCUACGGGAGGCAGCAGUGGGGAAUUUUGGACAAUGGGCGCAAGCCUGAUCCAGCAAUGCCGCGUGAGUGAAGAAGGCCUUCGGGUUGUAAAGCUCUUUUGUCAGGGAAGAAACGGUGUGGGCUAAUAUCCCGCACUAAUGACGGUACCUGAAGAAUAAGCACCGGCUAACUACGUGCCAGCAGCCGCGGUAAUACGUAGGGUGCAAGCGUUAAUCGGAAUUACUGGGCGUAAAGCGUGCGCAGGCGGUUUUGUAAGUUUGUCGUGAAAUCCCCGGGCUCAACCUGGGAAUGGCGAUGAAGACUGCAAGGCUAGAAUCUGGCAGAGGGGGGUAGAAUUCCACGUGUAGCAGUGAAAUGCGUAGAGAUGUGGAGGAACACCGAUGGCGAAGGCAGCCCCCUGGGUCAAGAUUGACGCUCAUGCACGAAAGCGUGGGGAGCAAACAGGAUUAGAUACCCUGGUAGUCCACGCCCUAAACGAUGUCUACUAGUUGUCGGGUUUUAAUUAACUUGGUAACGCAGCUAACGCGUGAAGUAGACCGCCUGGGGAGUACGGUCGCAGAGUAAACUACAANAGAGUAGACGGCGUGAGACGUGACCGACGGACGACGACGAGGGAGGAGG